rnacentral:rRNA from 1 species
UACGUAGGGUGCAAGCGUUAAUCGGAAUUACUGGGCGUAAAGCGUGCGCAGGCGGUGAUGUAAGACAGAUGUGAAAUCCCCGGGCUCAACCUGGGAACUGCAUUUGUGACUGCAUCGCUGGAGUGCGGCAGAGGGGGAUGGAAUUCCGCGUGUAGCAGUGAAAUGCGUAGAUAUGCGGAGGAACACCGAUGGCGAAGGCAAUCCCCUGGGCUGAGAUUGACGCUCAGGCACGAAAGCGUGGGGAGCAAACAGG